GAUGAACGCUGGCGGCGUGCCUAAUACAUGCAAGUCGAGCGAACAGACGAGGAGCUUGCUCCUCUGACGUUAGCGGCGGACGGGUGAGUAACACGUGGAUAACCUACCUAUAAGACUGGGAUAACUACGGGAAACCGGAGCUAAUACCGGAUAAUAUAUUGAACCGCAUGGUUCAAUAGUGAAAGACGGUUUUGCUGUCACUUAUAGAUGGAUCCGCGCCGCAUUAGCUAGUUGGUAAGGUAACGGCUUACCAAGGCAACGAUGCGUAGCCGACCUGAGAGGGUGAUCGGCCACACUGGAAAUGAGACACGGUCCAGACUCCUACGGGAGGCAGCAGUAGGGAAUCUUCCGCAAUGGGCGAAAGCUUGACGGAGCAACGCCGCGUGAGUGAUGAAGGUCUUCGGAUCGUAAAACUCUGUUAUUAGGGAAGAACAAAUGUGUAAGUAACUAUGCAUGUCUUGACGGUACCUAAUCAGAAAGCCACGGCUAACUACGUG
rnacentral:rRNA from 1 species